rnacentral:rRNA from 1 species
AGAGUUUGAUCCUGGCUCAGAUUGAACGCUGGCGGCAUGGCUAAAACAUGCAAGUUGCGCGAGAACCAGCUUCGGCUGGGGACAGCGGCGUAAGGGCGAGUAAUGCAAUCGAAUGUACCCCGAGCUGGGGGAUAGCCGCGGGAAACUGCGAGUAAUACCCCAUGUGAUCUACGGAUGAAAGCUACGGCGGCUUGGGAGCAGCGAUUGUCCUAUCAGGUAGUUGGUGAGGUAACGGCUCACCAAGCCGAAGACGGGUACCGGGUGUGAGAGCAUGACCCGGCGCAUCGGAACUGAGACACUGUCCGGACUCCUACGGGAGGCUGCAGUAACGAAUAUUCCGCAAUGGGCGAAAGCCUGACGGAGCAAUGCCGCGUGUGGGAUGAAUCGGCUUCGCCGUGUAAACCACUGUCAGGGUGCAGGAACACUGACCGCACCUAGAGGAGGGACCGGCUAAUCUCGUGCCAGCAGCCGCGGUAAUACGAGAGGUCCAAGCGUUAAUCGGAAUCACUGGGCUUAAAGCGUACGCAGGCGGCCCUGUAGGCAUCCCGUGAAAUCCCUCGGCUCAACCGGGGAAUUGCGGGGUGAACCACAGGGCUUGAGGUAGGUAGGGGCCAGCGGAACCAUGGGUGGAGCGGUGAAAUGCAUAGAUAUCCAUGGGAACACCAAUGCCGAAGGGAGCUGGCUGGGCCUAUUCUGACGCUCAGGUACGAAAGCGUGGGGAGCAAACGGGAUUAGAUACCCCGGUAGUCCACGCCGUAAACGAUGCACACUAGGUCGCGGGGGUUCUCACAUCUUCGCGGCCGAAGCUAACGCGAUAAGUGUGCCGCCUGGGGAGUACGGUCGCAAGGCUAAAACUCAAAGGAAUUGACGGGGGCUCACACAAGCGGUGGAGCAUGUUGCUUAAUUCGAGGCAACGCGAAGAACCUUACCUGGGUUUGACAUGCACGGAUUAACCUUUCGAAAGAUAGGCCACGCCCUCGGGUGGAACGUGCACAGGUGCUGCAUGGCUGUCGUCAGCUCGUGCUGUGAAGUGUCGGGUUAAGUCCCUUAACGAGCGCAACCCCUAUCGCUAGUUGCUAACGCGUCAUGGCGAGAACUCUAGCGAGACUGCCGGUGUCAAACCGGAGGAAGGUGGGGAUGACGUCAAGUCCUCAUGGCCCUUACGUCCAGGGAUGCAAACGUGCUACAAUGGUAUGGACAGAGCGAAGCAAGAUCGCGAGAUGGAGCAAAUCGCAAAAACCAUGCCCCAGUUCGGAUUGCAGGCUGAAACUCGCCUGCAUGAAGUUGGAAUCGCUAGUAAUCGGAGAUCAGCUACGCUCCGGUGAAUACGUUCCUGAGCCUUGUACACACCGCCCGUCAAGUCAUGGAAGCUGGGAGCGCCCGAAGUCGCCUCAUUUCAGGGGUGCCUACGGCGAGAUCGGUGACUGGGACUAAGUCGUAACAAGGUA